rnacentral:tRNA from 1 species
GUUCAUUAACGCUCAGUUGGUAGAGCAUGGCGCUUGCCAUGUCAGGGUUGUGGGUUCGAUUCCCACAGGGGACC